AGAGUUUGAUCCUGGCUCAGAUUGAACGCUGGCGGCAUGCUUUACACAUGUAAGUCGAACGGCAGCAUAGGUGCUUGCACCUGAUGGCGAGUGGCGGACGGGUGAGUAAUGCAUCGGGACGUGUCCGGAAGAGGGGGAUAACUGUUCGAAAGAACAGCUAAUACCGCAUAAUAUCCGAGGAAGAAAGCUGGGGACCUUAGGGCCUGGCGCUUACGGGGCGACCGAUGUCUGAUUAGCUAGUUGGUGGGGUAAAAGCCUACCAAGGCGACGAUCAGUAGCUGGUCUGAGAGGACGACCAGCCACACUGGGACUGAGAAACGGCCCAGACUCCUACGGGAGGCAGCAGUGGGGAAUUUUGGACAAUGGGGGCAACCCUGAUCCAGCAAUGCCGCGUGUCUGAAGAAGGCCUUCGGGUUGUAAAGGACUUUUGUUGGGGAGCAAGGUGCACAGGUUAAGAGCUAGUGUACUUGAGAGUACCCAAAGAAUAAGGACCGGCUAACUACGUGCCAGCAGCCGCGGUAAUACGUAGGGUCCAAGCGUUAAUCGGAAUUACUGGGCGUAAAGAGUGCGCAGGCGGCUUUGUAAGCUUGAUGUGAAAUCCCCGGGCUCAACCUGGGAACUGCAUUGAGGACUGCAAGGCUAGAGUGUAGCAGAGGGGGGUAGAAUUCCACGUGUAGCAGUGAAAUGCGUAGAGAUGUGGAGGAAUACCGAUGGCGAAGGCAGCCCCCUGGGUUAACACUGACGCUCAUGCACGAAAGCGUGGGGAGCAAACAGGAUUAGAUACCCUGGUAGUCC
rnacentral:rRNA from 1 species